rnacentral:rRNA from 1 species
AUUGAACGCUGGCGGCAGGCCUAACACAUGCAAGUCGGGCGAGCUGCGGACGGGUGAGUAAUGUCUGGGGAUCUGCCUGAUGGAGGGGGAUAACUACUGGAAACGGUAGCUAAUACCGCAUACCAUCAGAUGAACCCAUAUGGGAUUAGCUAGUAGGUGGGGUAACGGCUUACCUAGGCGACGACCCCUAGCUGGUCUGAGAGGAUGAGCAGCCACACUGGGAGUGAGACACGGCCCAGACGCCUACGGGAGGCAGCAGUGGGGAAUAUUGCAGCAUGGGGGCAAGCAUGAUGCAGCCAGGCCGCGUGUAUGAAGAAGGCCUUCGGGUUGUAAAGUACUGUCAGUCGGGAGGCGUUACCGACAGAAGAAGCACCGGCUAACUCCGUGCCAGCAGCCGCGGUAAUUC